rnacentral:misc_RNA from 1 species
AUACUUUCAACCUUCUUGGUUUGUUUUGACCAAGAAGGCUUGGACUUUGGAGGUUUUUCUUGCUGGUCUCUUUUGAAACCAGCUCCUCCUAAAUGAAUGUGUGGGGUCCGGUUUGCUGAUCCUUGACGUGAUAAGCAUAUUUUCUACGUCUCUCAGCUCGGAACUCGCAUGACUCAACCUUUAUACAAA